ensembl:lncRNA
GCAGAAAGGAGCAUUUGGCAUCAUUUUUUACACCGACAAAUGACGGGCAGCGCCGGACGGUGCAAACUACCAGCCCGAAUCCUCCCUUCUUUCCGGGCUGUCAGUCAUUCUGGCAGCUUCCAGCAACUGCAAAUGCAUAAGGGUACCUGAAAUAAAGCAGCUUCGAGGGAGCAGAGGAUGAAGAGCAGAUCUCCAAGCAUUAGAGGAGCAAAGCAGCAAGCCUCCCCACUCAAGAGCAUUAUUUCAAGCUCCAGCUCCUGGAACAGAAUAGCAUUACCAUGCACCCAAAGGCCUCAAGCUGCUGGUAAGCUAUUGCUGGUGGCCAGAGAUGUUAGAUACUCACAAGCAUGUUCUCUUCUCCUGCAGACAUUUGAAAUCUACCACUUCUGUUUCCACCUCAAGCUUACCACAGACAGAAGGGGAACCACACCACUCUGAGCAGCAGCAGCUUAAAUCCUUGGUCUCGCACGGGGAGCCCCUACAAGAAGGAGGCAGCGCUUAAUAAGAUUAGCAAAUGUUUAAGUCUGAGCAAAUAAAGAUAGCAAGUUGUUUCUCAGCAAAAAACUAGCAGGUU